rnacentral:tRNA from 1 species
GCGGAUUUAGCUCAGUGGUAGAGCGCUUGCCUAGCAAGCGCAAGGCCCUGGGUUCGGUCCCCUGAAGGGGCU